CUUAACACAUGCAAGUCGAGGGGCAGCAUGGUCUUAGCUUGCUAAGGCCGAUGGCGACCGGCGCACGGGUGAGUAACACGUAUCCAACCUGCCGUCUACUCUUGGACAGCCUUCUGAAAGGAAGAUUAAUACAAGAUGGCAUCAUGAGUCCGCAUGUUCACAUGAUUAAAGGUAUUCCGGUAGACGAUGGGGAUGCGUUCCAUUAGAUAGUAGGCGGGGUAACGGCCCACCUAGUCUUCGAUGGAUAGGGGUUCUGAGAGGAAGGUCCCCCACAUUGGAACUGAGACACGGUCCAAACUCCUACGGGAGGCAGCAGUGAGGAAUAUUGGUCAAUGGGCGAGAGCCUGAACCAGCCAAGUAGCGUGAAGGAUGACUGCCCUAUGGGUUGUAAACUUCUUUUAUAAAGGAAUAAAGUCGGGUAUGCAUACCCGUUUGCAUGUACUUUAUGAAUAAGGAUCGGCUAACUCCGUGCCAGCAGCCGCGGUAAUACGGAGGAUCCGAGCGUUAUCCGGAUUUAUUGGGUUUAAAGGGAGCGUAGAUGGAUGUUUAAGUCAGUUGUGAAAGUUUGCGGCUCAACCGUAAAAUUGCAGUUGAUACUGGAUAUCUUGAGUGCAGUUGAGGCAGGCGGAAUUCGUGGUGUAGCGGUGAAAUGCUUAGAUAUCACGAAGAACUCCGAUUGCGAAGGCAGCCUGCUAAGCUGCAACUGACAUUGAGGCUCGAAAGUGUGGGUAUCAAACAGGAUUAGAUACCCUGGUAGUCCACACGGUAAACGAUGAAUACUCGCUGUUUGCGAUAUACAGCAAGCGGCCAAGCGAAAGCGUUAAGUAUUCCACCUGGGGAGUACGCCGGCAACGGUGAAACUCAAAGGAAUUGACGGGGGCCCGCACAAGCGGAGGAACAUGUGGUUUAAUUCGAUGAUACGCGAGGAACCUUACCCGGGCUUAAAUUGCAGAUGAAUUACGGUGAAAGCCGUAAGCCGCAAGGCAUCUGUGAAGGUGCUGCAUGGUUGUCGUCAGCUCGUGCCGUGAGGUGUCGGCUUAAGUGCCAUAACGAGCGCAACCCUUGUUGUCAGUUACUAACAGGUUCCGCUGAGGACUCUGGCAAGACUGCCAUCGUAAGAUGUGAGGAAGGUGGGGAUGACGUCAAAUCAGCACGGCCCUUACGUCCGGGGCUACACACGUGUUACAAUGGGGGGUACAGAGGGCCGCUACCACGCGAGUGGAUGCCAAUCCCCAAAACCUCUCUCAGUUCGGACUGGAGUCUGCAACCCGACUCCACGAAGCUGGAUUCGCUAGUAAUCGCGCAUCAGCCACGGCGCGGUGAAUACGUUCCCGGGCCUUGUACACACCGCCCGUCAAGCCAUGGGAGCCGGGGGUACCUGAAGUGCGUAACCGCGAGGAGCGCCCUAGGGUAAAACUGGUGACUGGGGCUAAG
rnacentral:rRNA from 1 species